AGAGCAGAUGUUACUUUUUUGGUAUACACAGUGAGUGAAAAAAAGUAUUUUAUUUUGUAAGGUUUUAUAAAUAAAAUAAUAAAUUAAAAAAAUAAAAUUAGGUAGGUGGGUUGGUUGGUGGGCCAACUCGGCUUACCAUAGGUUCAACCCGCAUGAACCGGAUCUAAAUGAGCCGGAUUGAAAUCUGACCCAAUAUAAGUGAGUUAUAUUUUCAAACCCAACCUGC
rnacentral:lncRNA from 1 species